rnacentral:rRNA from 1 species
UGCAGUCGACGAUGAACCACUUCGGUGGGGAUUAGUGGCGAACGGGUGAGUAACACGUGGGCAAUCUGCCCUUCACUCUGGGACAAGCCCUGGAAACGGGGUCUAAUACCGGAUAGCACUUCUGCUCGCAUGGGCAGGGGUUGAAAGCUCCGGCGGUGAAGGAUGAGCCCGCGGCCUAUCAGCUUGUUGGUGAGGUAACGGCUCACCAAGGCGACGACGGGUAGCCGGCCUGAGAGGGCGACCGGCCACACUGGGACUGAGACACGGCCCAGACUCCUACGGGAGGCAGCAGUGGGGAAUAUUGCACAAUGGGCGAAAGCCUGAUGCAGCGACGCCGCGUGAGGGAUGACGGCCUUCGGGUUGUAAACCUCUUUCAGCAGGGAAGAAGCGCAAGUGACGGUACCUGCAGAAGAAGCGCCGGCUAACUACGUGCCAGCAGCCGCGGUAAUACGUAGGGCGCAAGCGUUGUCCGGAAUUAUUGGGCGUAAAGAGCUCGUAGGCGGCUUGUCACGUCGGGUGUGAAAGCCCGGGGCUUAACCCCGGGUCUGCAUUCGAUACGGGCUAGCUAGAGUGUGGUAGGGGAGAUCGGAAUUCCUGGUGUAGCGGUGAAAUGCGCAGAUAUCAGGAGGAACACCGGUGGCGAAGGCGGAUCUCUGG